GGACCGUUACGGGCCUCACACCAUCGGAUGUGCCCAGAUGGGAUUAGCUAGUAGGUGAGGUAAUGGCUCACCUAGGCGACGAUCCCUAGCUGGUCUGAGAGGAUGACCAGCCACACUGGAACUGAGACACGGUCCAGACUCCUACGGGAGGCAGCAGUGGGGAAUAUUGCACAAUGGGCGCAAGCCUGAUGCAGCCAUGCCGCGUGUGUGAAGAAGGCCUUCGGGUUGUAAAGCACUUUCAGCGAGGAGGAAGGGUUCGGUGUUAAUAGCACNGUUCAUUGACGUUACUCGCAGAAGAAGCACCGGCUAACUCCGUGCCAGCAGCCGCGGUAAUACGGAGGGUGCAAGCGUUAAUCGGAAUUACUGGGCGUAAAGCGCACGCAGGCGGUUUGUUAAGUCAGAUGUGAAAUCCCCGAGCUUAACUUGGGAACUGCAUUUGAAACUGGCAAGCUAGAGUCUUGUAGAGGGGGGUAGAAUUCCAGGUGUAGCGGUGAAAUGCGUANAGAUCUGGAGGAAUACCGGUGGCGAAGGCGGCCCCCUGGACAAAGACUGACGCUCAGGUGCGAAAAGCGUGGGGGAGCAAACAGGAUUANAUACCCUGGUAGUCCACGCUGUAAACGAUGUCCAA
rnacentral:rRNA from 1 species